AACUCCCAGCCUGCCCCGCGCCCGCGCAUGCUCCUUACAGCGAGCGGCUGGCAGGGCUGGGCUGGGCUGUUGCUGGGCCGGGGCUCGGCCCGUUCCGCGGGGGGAGAAGGAGCCGGUUCGGGGGUAACCGCCGCGGUAUAAGGGGACGAGCCGAGCCAGCGCUGCGCCGGCGGGGGAGGGCGCGGACCCGACCCUCCCUGCGGCCCGGCCAGCUCGCGGCCGCCCGCUCACCCCUCCCGGGGGCAGAGCCGGGCCCGGGGGCUGCCGCGAGACCGGCGCAGCUGGAUCGUCACCACCCGCCUCCUGUCAGUCGCUGUGGCAGAGCCGGGCUUCCCCUCUGCGAAGGGCCAGGAAUGAGUAGCUGGAGGAGGAGGUGCAGCAGUAGCAGAUAAGAUUCUUUUCCUUCAAAGUAAGUAAGGAAGAACAAUGGGAGUUCAAGGACUUUGGAAACUGCUUGAAUGCUCUGGAAGACCUAUAAACCCAGAAACUUUGGAAGGAAAAAUUCUUGCUGUUGAUAUUAGCAUUUGGUUGAAUCAAGCAGUAAAAGGAGCAAGGGACCGUCAUGGUAACACCAUACAAAAUGCUCACCUACUCACUUUGUUCCAUCGUCUCUGCAAGUUGUUAUUUUUUCGAAUCCGGCCUGUCUUUGUUUUUGAUGGGGAGGCACCACUACUGAAGAGGCAAACUUUGGCUAAACGAAAACAAAGAAAAGAAUUGGCAGUCAGUGACUCUAAGAAAACUACCGAAAAACUCUUGAAAACUUUCCUGAAAAGACAAGCUAUCAAAACGGCUUUAACAGGCAAAAGCAAUGAAGCACUGCCCAGUAUUUCACAAGUUCGAAGAGAAGAAAUUGAUGAUAUAUAUGUAUUGUCCUCUUUACAAGAGGAAGAAAAAAAGAGUUCAGAAGACGAAGAUGAAAAAGAGUGGGAAGAGAGAAUGAGCCAAAAAAAAAUAUUGCAGGAAGAAUUCUUUGACAAUCCUCAUUCUGUAGACAUUGAAUCAGAAGACUUCAGCAGUCUGCCUCCAGAAGUGAAACAUGAAAUCCUGACAGAUAUAAAGGAGUUUACAAAGCGACGAACAUUAUUUGAGACCAUGCCAGAGGAGUCCAAUGACUUCUCACAAUACCAACUCAAGGGUUUGCUUAAAAAAAACAACCUCAAUCGAUACAUAGAACAUGUGGAAAAAGAGAUGAGUCAUCAGGACUCAGGCCAAAUCCAAACCCAAUAUGAAAAUGAGGGGGGCUUCAUGAAAGAAGUGGAAAGCAAGAGGGUAGUCUCUGAAGAUACUUCUCAUUACAUUCUGAUAAAAGGUAUUCAAGUAAAGGAAGCCACCAAUACACACUUAGAAACUCUUUCAGUUGGGCAUUCUUCCCCAGGACCUGAAUAUAACAUACCUGAUAAAAUACAUAAUGAAAUGAAUGCUAAUACCAAGCCACCUUCACCUGAAAAGUUAAAGACCAAGAAGGCUAGCAAUGCAGCUGGAGCACCACCUUCUCCCAGAACUUUGCUUGCUAUACAGGCAGCUAUGUUAGAAAGCUGCUCAGAAGAGGAGCCAGAGGAUGAAGAUAAAAGGCAGCUGAAUUUGGACCAAGCCACACUCUGUCCCGGUAUAGCUGAAGGCAAUGUAUCACCAAGAUCACUACAGGUUAUUCAGCAAGCUUUAAGUGGUGGUAGUGGUGAUGAUGAUGUGAGAGCAGUUAUUACCUCUAGCGCUGAUAGAAUACAAAUGGAAAUGUCGGGGGUGAAGGAUCAUAUUAGUAGCUCAGAUGAGGAAGAUGAGGCUUCUAAAAUUAAGGAUGGAAAAGAGUCGCUACUUUUACCUACAAAUCUUUCAACAAACGCUGUCCUUAUUCAAGAUGGUGAAUCAGACCAAAAACGUACGUCAGAUUUUUUUUUAAUCCCUGUAUCUAAAGGUGUGUGCACACCUUGCGUUAAAAAUGAUUCCUCUGUUGAAAUCAUUAGAAUAGAUAAAGAACAGACAGAAGAUGAACAAGAGGACACUUCAAAAAUGGACUCAAGAUCUCUGCAAGAAAACAUGAAUAUUCCCAUGCAGAAACUAAUAAAUUCCACAACAAAGACCACUUCAGUAGCUAUGAUUCAUUCAGAAACUACAGAAAUUUCUGACAAUGUGGAAUAUGAAAAUGUAGAGUGUCUUUUUCCAGAAGCAGAAAAGAAUACUCCUGAUCUACAGCAUCCAUUUUCAGUCACUCCAGAAAUAGCAAAUCCUAAUGCGGCAAGAGUACAAAGGAAAUCACAGUCUGAAGAGAGUGAUUCAGAUGGUAGCUUUAUUGAAGUCGACAGUGAAAUUAGUAAUGACACUGAGUUUCCAGGUGAAAUAUUUAAAACAUCACAUGCUCCCUCUGAACCUGAUGAGACAUUGGCUGUUGAAGCAGCAGCUACAGAACAGGAGAAGGAAGGAGAUGAUGAGGCCACAGAGAACCUCUUUAAAGAUGCUGCUGAAGAAGUGCAGCUGACUAUUCAUCAGAAUGCUGAAACCAAAAAAGACAGGGAAGGUGCAGUGAAUGAGUGGCAAGAUAUUAGUUUGGAGGAAUUGGAAGCUCUGGAGAACAACCUUUCUGUUGAGCAAAACAUGCUUCAGGCUCAAAAACAACAGCAGGAGCGUAUUGCUGCCACUGUAACAGGACAGAUGUUCUUGGAAAGUCAGGAACUUCUCCGUCUGUUCGGUGUUCCUUACAUUGAAGCACCUAUGGAGGCAGAGGCUCAAUGUGCUGUCUUGGACCUUACUGAUCAGACCUCUGGGACAAUCACUGAUGAUAGUGAUAUUUGGCUAUUUGGAGCGCGGCAUGUUUAUAAAAAUUUCUUCAGUCAAAACAAGUAUAUGGAAUAUUACCAAUAUGUGGAUAUUCAAAACCAACUAGGGUUAGACAGAAGCAAGUUAAUUAAUUUGGCCUAUUUGCUUGGAAGUGAUUACACUGAAGGAAUCCCGUCUGUUGGCUAUGUAACAGCAAUGGAGAUUUUAAAUGAAUUCCCUGGGCAUGGAAUGGAACCUCUCUUAAAAUUCACUGAAUGGUGGACAGAAGCUCAGAAGAAUAAGAAAAUAAGACCCAAUCCACAUGAUACCAAAGUAAAGAAAAAACUGCAGCAACUGCAGCUGAGUCCUGGCUUCCCAAAUCCAGCAGUAGUAAAAGCUUACCUGAAACCUGUGGUGGAUGAGUCAAAGGGAUCAUUCAUCUGGGGAAGGCCUGACGUAGAACAGAUCAGAGAAUUCUGUCAGAGUUGCUUUGGCUGGACUAGGACAAAGACAGAUGAAGCCCUUUUGCCUGUACUGAAACAGCUGAACUCACAACAGGUAAUCCAUGUUACUGGAGGCUUUUAUGUUGUUUAAGGCUGGCUUGAAAAUUUAAAAACUAGUAUUUUUAAAAUAACCAACAAAGCUUCAACCAAAAGUAUAUUACAAACCCAAAUCAUUUAACAGACUCUUGGUCAAAGUCUGUGCUGAACUACAAUGCCUGCAAUUCCACUGAACUUGUGGGCUGUCACAAGUUGUAAAUCGGCAUGGAAUUAGGCCUUAUGCAUAUAGAUAUUAAAAUUGUAAGUAAAUAUAUUUUUAAAAUGACAUAACAUUAGAUUGUAAAUUCUUUUGGGCAUAAAUGUUGUACAGUUUAUGUGCUGUGAAGCACUUAGGAUAAUUUUAAAUACUGUAAAUUAGUAAAAUCUAAUAGUUCUGCUGCCUGUCAACUCCUGAGUUCAGGCUCCUGUUCGUUCUGCGGUAGCUGAUAUUACAGAUUCCUAAAGCAGCAUAGGUAAACCCCAUUUAAUCCCUACUUCUGGUGCAUUGAAGCUUGGCUCCUCUAGGAUUUUCAGAAUGUUUUUAAAUGUUCUCUCAAACAGUUUGGCUAAAUGAGGUUGUACUGUAUUCCCUGUAAAGCUUUAUAUGUUAGUAAUAUCAUCAGCUCUUUCCGGGAGAUGCAGAUCCCAGAAUAUAGGAGUAGGCAGAUAAAUGGAGGAAUUGCUUUUAAAAUACUUCGUGUUUUAUAACAUAAAUAUAUUGAUGACUUUUAAAUCUACACACACUCUGUUAACAAUGUGGAAUCUUAAAUGACUCUUUCAGAAGAUGAAAAGGGUUGCUGUUAAGACUUAAGAUGUUGCAGUAAGCCUUCAGUUCAUUUGAUCAAUGAGAAGAACGUUUAUUUCACUGGUUUGUGCAAAUGAAAAGCAUAGUUGUAGGGUUUAUUUAGUAAAGUAAUCAUUUUAUUAUGUUAAUAGCUUUGCAUUUGAGAAUAUGCUAAUAAGUAUGUGUGUUUGCAGGUCUGGGAGUCUCCAUUUGUGCUGUAACUGCAAAUAAUGUGUUAGAAGCAUGAACACAGUAUUUGUAAAACAUGCAGGGAAUUUUGCUUCCUUAACCAUUAAUUUGUUUCUUUAAAUAGGGCUGUAGUGUUUCUUGCUCUAAUGAAGCUUUUAAAACUUACUGAAUAAUUAUACAAUAAUAUAAUUACUAAUCUCUUCUGGGAACUCAUCUUGUACUCUAUAUAUUUGUGAUUCAUAUUUCAUUUAUUUGAGCAGUCUUUGUUCUACACCAAUUUAGACUAUUGCAUAAUCUAUUUUAUUUAUAGAAUGCCUAUCACCAUGGUAUUAAACUUCACCUCUUUAAUUGUUGUGUAUACUUGUAGACUCAACUUCGAAUUGAUUCAUUCUUCAGACUAGCACAACAUGAAAAGCAAGCCAUUAAGAGCCAGAGACUUCGAAGAGCUGUGACUUGUAUGCGGAGGAAAGAAAAAGAAGCAGUAGCUGAUGAAAUUCAGGAGGCUACUGCUGUUGUAGAAAGAGAACUUAAACAUGGUGAGGAAAGGAAGGGAAAAAUAGCUGUCCAAGGUACAACAGAUCGAUCUACUGCAGCACAAAGCCAAAGGAUAAAAAGAAAAAAACAUUCAAAGUCCACAGAGGAGAGUUUACAUGGAGGUGGUUUCAUUGGUGAGGUGCAGCUGUCAGAAGGAUCCAGUGGGUCUUCAGGGGAGGAUUCUGAAAGUGAAGUUUUUAAUAAGAGCAAAAGAGGAAAACCUGUCAAGGAAUCAGCAAUUCAGAAAAACACAGUGAGACAGGAGGAAGAUGUGAAUAGUAGCUCAAGUGGUGAGGAUGAAGAUGAAGAAAACACAGUCAUGGUGACUGCCCAAUCUGUGUUUGAGGG